rnacentral:lncRNA from 1 species
UGUUAAUUAAAUUGUGUUCAAAAUACAAAGACGUAUUUGGAAUGUCUUAGAAUGUUAUUAAAUGGCUGAAAGGACAGGAUAACAGUAGUGUUGUCUUUUAAGCUAGAUCUAGUUCUUUUGCAAUUAUUGUGAUUCUCAAAAUUGUUGGGAUUUGAGAGCUAACGGAAGCAAACUGUAUCUUUUUCUCUUCUCUUUCUACAGUUGGUACAUCAUCUCUGUGCUUCUGCUGGAUUUCACAGGUGCUUUCUCUGAACCUGUAAGGGUCACAGUUAAAGGUUUCGUUGGAGAGUCGGCUGUCUUUCCUUGUUCCAUCCCUGAUAGUGAAAUUCAAGGCAAAAUAGAAAAAUUCAAUGUACAUUGGAGAGACAAUGAAGACAAGCUUGUGUGUGACAUUAUUGCAAGCAACAGAAUAUGCACGGAUCAAGAUCCAAAGUACAAGUUCAGAGUCAAAACGUUCCCAGAGGAGUAUAAGAAGGGCAACUUCUCCAUCAAACUCAGCAGUCUUCAAAAAACUGAUGCAAGGAAGUACAUUUGUCACAUCACAGGACCAUCUCAGAAUCACACCAUCACAGAGCUUCAUGUUGAAGGUGUGUAUAAUCUGAGUUUCACUGACAAAAUUGUUAGUGAUUGAUCAAACUAAUGUUACUAAGUUUGUCUUUGUUGUUUUGUAACAGAUAGAGCAGGAGGAAGAGGCAACCACGGAAGCUAAAGAUUGAUGGAGAACUACCAAUCAAUUGUCUUUUUUUUAGUCCGAUUUUUCUUAGCUGGCAUACUGAAUUUAAUGUUUGUAGCAAUCAGUUUUGGCAUAGUAAGGGUUUUAUUCAGUUACUAGGGUAGAAUGAAAGUAUUUUUUACUCCGUUUAAAAAAAUAAAUAAAUAAAUAAAAUUCUUUGGUAUUUCAACCUGAACAUUUCAGACAUGAAGAACCCAAGCACAGUAUAAUAUUAGGAAACUUGACUUUACUAGAUGAUUAAAAUGGUCAGGAAAUAUAAACCAUCACAUGCAAUGACAAAUUAAACAUAAUAGCUGCAUAUACACAAGUUACCUAAAAGAGACUUUUAACAUACAUGAACAUCAAAAUAAAAGUCUGAGUAUUUAAAUUCAUAAAAACUAAACAAAUUGUUACAACAAUUGUCCUUGAAUCCAUUUUAGGAAAUAAUAAUAAUAAUUUUUACAAUCUCUAUCCAAACAACAUUUGUAAAAACUAAAUCUAAAUUUACUAAAACAACUUAAAACAGCACAAAACGACCCACUCAUUUCAUCACAAUUUUCAGACAAAUAAGUGUUAAAUAAGGGUGAUAUACUGCCACCCUUCACAAGGCUUUACACAAGUAUUUUUGAUUUAGUUUUUUUUGCCUCCUGUAUUCACUCAUCUUUCAGUUGAAAACUUGUGUGACUGACCACUGUUACCAAAACCCUUGAAUUAAAUUAAAUUAAAAUAAGAUUCAUAUUCUAUAUAUUUCAUUCGUAUUAAUCAUGGCCCAAUUUUGCAUGAGUGUUUGUAACUGGAUGUCAGUAUCAUGUUUCCUGUUUACAGUGUCAUGUCAACCAUGUUAAUAAAUUGCUAAAUAUACAUCAAAGUGUCAUUUUAUUGGUGUUGCAAUUAAGUAGAAAAAUACUGUGAUUAAUUUGAUUAUGAAAAAUCAGCACAAUUGCCCACCACUGACUGAUCCAAACAUAUGUGACUGUGGGACCACAAAGAGCCCUACUUGAUUAACUGCAGACUAUACCAGAAUUAAAGUUCAGACACAGAAAUAAAUUACACCACAACACAAGUUUGUACAGUACAUGACAUACAAAUGAACAAAUAAACA